UCUUAGCACCUAAGGUCUUGACUCCC
rnacentral:piRNA from 1 species